GAAGUCUGACGAGGAUGAGAACCUCCGGGGGCAAGAGGUUCGACUCGAGCGAAGCGAGAGAACGUUGCGCCAGCAACGGCCCGCAGGGCGAGCCACGCAGUGGCGAGUCAUCCUCUAUCACCGACCA
rnacentral:sRNA from 1 species